GAGUAUCCUGUAACACAUGCCCAGUGGGGCUUCAGGAGCUGUAAACAUUCACCCUUAGACCCUGCCCUGGGGUAGGAGCCCCAUUGCCUGCCUGUCUGUGUGCUCCCCUAGAGGUCUGAGCAGCGGGGCACUGAAGAAAACAGUCACUCCCCCAUCAAAGGCCCUGAGAGGGGACGAGGGAGCCUUUCCCUUUUCAACUGGGGACCUCGACCGGGAUCCUGGAAGUGUCAUUAAAGGAUACAUUAUUGGUAACUUCUGGAAUGGAGCAAACACCGCUAUGGCCUGUGCAAGAUCAGAAUGUGGUUUCUUUCAUUCAUAUCAGAAUCGUAUUAACCAGGCUAACCAAACUAAGGACAGCGUUAUCAGAUUGAGAUGCUGGCGGCUUUUCUCAGGUCACACAAUCACAAAACAAUGGAUGAGGAUUACAACAAAUCAGCAGCUGGCUUUGUAGAAGACCUGAGAAGUCGUAUCUGCAUAUGUUAUAUGUAAAUUUCAUGUCAGCGCCAAAAGAGAAUUUCAGUAACUUGCCUAAGGUACCAGAAAAAGUAAGCAAACGAUCUUGAAUUUAAAUUUAGAAGAGCCUAACUACAACUUGUGUCAAUGUUCUUCUUCCUGGACCACAACAGUUUUUCUGUUAUUUGAUACUUUGCUGCUCUCAACAUAAAUGUCUUUGGAUGGUGGCAAAGUUAUUGCCCUUAUGAGAGGUGUUUUAUGAAUAAUUUUGAAAAUACACAUAAAAAUGUAUUUUGAAAACAUAUAUUAAUUCUUUCCCUUUGGGUUUAUCUAAAAACAAAAUAAAUGAAAAGAAGUUUCAUGGAGGUGGCAGUAUGUUUUUUAGUCCCCAAUAUACUGUUGCUCUCAGGACAAAGUAAGGUUUUAAAAACAUGUCCUUGAUAGUUUUAAAUAUUUUAAAAAUUAAAAUAUAUUUUAAAAUCUUAACUGCAUAUUGUACUUUGAAGGUUUCUGCUAUUUGAAAGAUAAUGCAGCCUUGUCCUUCAGGAAUGUCCUACAAAAUGCAUUUUCAAAAAUUUUCUCUUUUUUCCAAGAACAUUGUUCACAAUUACCUGGCAAACAUUGGAGUCUGUCCUUCAGUUGCCUUUUAAAACAUUAAUUUUCAUCUUAUGAAUAAGUCUUUAAUGUACUUCACAAUUAAUUCUGAUCUUUACUGCUGUAUAGCUUUAAAUUUAUUUCACUGAAUAAAUCUUUCAUGUAUUUUAAUUCCAAAUUAUGGAUAAGUAUACUGUUGCUUCAUUACAUUCCACAACAUUCCCGUUUAAAUCCCAUAUUAUUAAUCAAGACAUCAAUUUCCUUACAAGUUCUUAGUAAGUAGAGAAUUUCUGUACUGAAUGAAGGUAUUUACUUCCUGUAUAUUGUUUUCAAAGAUCAAUUGUUAUUAAAUUUGUAUUGUAACUGAGUGCUGGUAUAUACAAAUAGUCAUAUGAAAAAUAAUUUAUCUAUAACAGUAAAAUAAUGUGCUAAAACAAUGGACAAAAUAUGAGUAUAUAUAGUAUCUCAUGAAUAAUAAAAAAUAAUGCUAAUACUGUUUCUCCUGAAAACUUUUUAAAAUGCUAAGUGAAAUGUAACUUUUCAAAAUAACUCUAGUCAUUUAUAGCUGUGGGAUUGAAUUGUUAUAUAACUCUAUUUCUAGGUACAAAAAUCAUAAAACUAUUUUUUUCUCUUUUAUUUUCAUAUUUUUAGGUUAUUUUGAGCAGGAUAUUAAGAGUGCCACUGUGAUUUAUUAUUUUUUUUAUUUUUACUGUGACUAGAGAAUCAUGUCCUUAAGGUUUUAAGAUUCCAUAUAGUUUUUUAAAAAAAUUCAUCUUUUCUGUGAUUAACAAUCAUAGGUUAUUACAUCUAACACUUCUUUUUCUUUUCAACUUUCUGAGGUUAAAUACUUCAACAAUGAUUAUUAAACAAGAGAUAUUUCAUUUUGAUAUUUUUGCAAGUUUUCUUCCAUUUGCUUUCAAGAUUGCCUUGUCACAUAUUAUGACAUUUGUCAUCUUUCUGGAAAAGGGUCUUCAUGAGGAAAAGUGAAAGUCUAUGUUUUGAAGCAGGGAUAAAGAAGAUAGUCCUACAUUUAUUGAACUAUAGGCCAUUGACUUGAAGCUCAUAGAAAUUCCCGAGAAGGACCUGUGGGGAGAGAUGAUCAACUCUCUGAUGAACAUAUAACUGUAAAUGUUAGAGUUGGAUAGUUAACUGCAGAUAUUUUGCCUAUCAUAUUUUUCUCCAUAUCAGCGUUUAAAUUCUGGGACCUCAAGUAGGUUCUCUUGUCCUUGAUUUUUUUUUAAUUCAGCCAGCAGAGACCUUUUCCCUUGAUUGCUAGAGCUUAUUUGUAUACUCAGAAUGUUUUUGUGUACCAGUUCAACUACAACUCAUUCAGUGAACCAAACCCUAUGGGACAGUAUUUGAAGUAAUGUAAAAAUAGUUUUCCACCCAGAAUGAUUAGAGGCCAGAUAGGGGCUUCCAUCUUGCCGUGGGUAAUACUGUGAGAACUAUGCUGGGAUGACCUGGGUGUUCUGGGUGAUCAGAGCGGCCAACCUGGCUUCCCUGCCCGAAACCACUUGAGAGUCCAGAACUAAGCAGUCUCCACUUUCAUUGACAUGGGCACAGAGACACCUCUGCAUUCCCCAGUUUUUAAUUAAGUAUGGUUAACUUUAACCUAAAAUUCGACCAGUUUUAAGAAUGCAGAGAAUUUAUAACUUGCACAAAAUAGAUAAUUGGUUGAUACCAAGUACAUAAAUAAACCAACAAAUAAUUGAUGUAAAUUGCCAUCCCACUGUGUCUAACCAAUGUAUUAAAAUAAAUACUAAGAAUGUCACAUGUAAAUUCACUCACUGCAGAUA